CCUACGGGGGGCAGCAGUAGGGAAUCUUUCACAAUGGGCGAAAGCCUGAUGGAGCAACGCCGCGUGCAGGAUGAAGGCCUUCGGGUUGUAAACUGCUUUUAUAAGCGAGAAAUAUGAUGGUAACUUAUGAAUAAGGAUCGGCUAACUACGUGCCAGCAGCCGCGGUCAUACGUAGGAUCCGAGCAUUAUCCGGAGUGACUGGGUGUAAAGAGUUGCGUAGGUGGCAUGAUAAGUAGCUAGUGAAAUCUGGUGGCGCAACCAUUCAGACUAUUAGCUAAACUGUUAAGCUCGAGACCGGUAGGGGUAACUGGAAUUUCUAGUGUAGGAGUGAAAUCCGUAGAUAUUAGAAGGAACACCAAUAGCGUAGGCAGGUUGCUGGGACGGUUCUGACACUAAGGCACGAAAGCGUAGGGAGCAAACGGGAUUAGAUACCCUGGUAGUC
rnacentral:rRNA from 1 species